UACGUAGGGUGCGAGCGUUAAUCGGAAUUACUGGGCGUAAAGUGUGCGCAGGCGGCGUCGCAAGUCGAGUGUGAAAGCCCCGAGCUUAACUUGGGAAUUGCGCUCGAAACUACGUGGCUCGAGUGUGGCAGAGGAAGGUGGAAUUCCACGUGUAGCGGUGAAAUGCGUAGAGAUGUGGAGGAACACCGAUGGCGAAGGCAGCCUUCUGGGCCAACACUGACGCUCAUGCACGAAAGCGUGGGGAGCAAACAGG
rnacentral:rRNA from 1 species